GUGCCAGCAGCCGCGGUAAUACGAAGGGUGCUAGCGUUGUUCGGAAUCACUGGGCGUAAAGCGUGCGUAGGCGGCUAAACAAGUCAGGGGUGAAAUGCCAAGGCUCAACCUUGGAACUGCCUUUGAAACUGUUUAGCUUGAGACUCGGAGGGGAUAGCGGAAUUUCUAAUGUAGCGGUGAAAUGCGUAGAUAUUAGAAGGAACACCGGUGGCGAAGGCGGCUAUCUGGACGAGUACUGACGCUGAGGCACGAAAGCGUGGGGAUCAAACAGGAUUAGAUACCCUGGUAGUCC
rnacentral:rRNA from 1 species